rnacentral:rRNA from 1 species
UACGUAGGGUGCGAGCGUUAAUCGGAAUUACUGGGCGUAAAGCGAGCGUAGUCGGUUAUUUAAGUCGGGUGUGAAAGCCCCGGGCUCAACCUGGGAAUUGCAUUCGAUACUGGAUAGCUAGAGUUCGGCAGAGGGAAGCGGAAUUUCCGGUGUAGCGGUGAAGUGCGUAGAUAUCGGAAGGAACAUCAGUGGCGAAAGCGGCUUCCUGGACCAGAACUGACGAUCAGGCUCGAAAGCGUGGGGAGCAAACAGG